UCCUGUAAGUUUCAGAACUCAAAACUUUCUCAUUAGUCCAAAAACAGCUUAUAUUGAAGAAAAUCUGCCAAAUCGACAGGUUGCGCGGAAUGUACCACUUUAUGACAUAGUGUUGCUAAACCCCGCCUCCGCAGAAGAUCAACGCCUGCUUUUACAUGACUGCCUGUUUAGCUCUGCCAACUGAUUCACGCGUGUAGUGUAAAUAAGAGAGGCAAACUCAGGUCUAUGUAGUAACCAAAUGAUAAAGAUGCUCCAAAGACAAGAUGCUGUGCAGUGCCAAGCUGUGGAAAAACACAAUCUUUGCAUAACCUUCCAUCGGAUUCCAACAUUAGGAAAGAGUGGAUGAAGUUUAUUUUUAAUGAAGAUCCAGACCGCGUCAGUAAGAACUUGAAAAAAGGCAGUUCAUGACCUUUUAAUGUUAUUAGAUCUUUGUAAUGGGCCUGUUAGGAGAAUGAUCUCUCUUUUUUUUUUUUCGUUUUUUUUUUUCUCUUAGCAUGAGUCUAAUCUCUGGUAUAAUUGCAUAACUGUUUACUUAAACUGUCUGUCCACUGUAUCUUUUUUUUAAAUAAUCUACUCCAUCUAUAACCUUAUCCAUCUGUUUGUAUUAGAAUUUAAAAAUUUUUCCUCUUUUAUGGUUUCCUAACUGUAUUUUUUUUUAUGCCACAGGAGACACAACACCUACAAGUACAAGUACAAGUACACCAGCUCCAUGGGUUGUUGCAAUGAUUGUGAUUGUUGUGAUUGGUCUGGAUUAGCCACAAAUGAGGGUUCAUCACUAAGAUCAAAUAAAGCAGUUUAUGAACUUCA